rnacentral:rRNA from 1 species
AACGAACGCAGGCGGCGUGCCUAACACAUGCAAGUCGAACGAGAAAGGGGCUUCGGCCCCGAGUAAAGUGGCGCACGGGUGAGUAACACGUAGGUAACCUGCCUCUAAGUUUGGGAUGACCUGUCGAAAGAUGAGCUAAUACCAAAUAAGACCACGGCUUCCUCGGAAGCAGAGGUCAAAGGUAGCCUCUACUUGUAAGCUAUCACUUAGAGAUGGGCCUGCGUACCAUUAGCUAGUUGGUGGGGUAACGGCCUACCAAGGCAAAGAUGGUUAGCUGGUCUGAGAGGAUGAUCAGCCACACUGGAACUGAGACACGGUCCAGACUCCUGCGGGAGGCAGCAGUGGGGAAUAUUGCGCAAUGGGCGAAAGCCUGACGCAGCAACGCCGCGUGAGUGAUGAAGGCCUUCGGGUCGUAAAGCUCUGUCGGAGGGAACGAGUGCUCUUGAGGUUAACAGCCUCGGGAAGUGACGGUACCCUCAAAGGAAGCACCGGCUAACUCUGUGCCAGCAGCCGCAGUAAAAC